CCUACGGGGAGCUGCAGUGGGGAAUAUUGGACAAUGGGGGGAACCCUGAUCCAGCCAUGCCGCGUGUGUGAAGAAGGCCCUCGGGUUGUAAAGCACUUUCAGUGAGGAAGAACGCCUGGUGGUUAAUACCCAUCAGGAAAGACAUCACUCACAGAAGAAGCACCGGCUAACUCCGUGCCAGCAGCCGCGGUAAUACGGAGGGUGCGAGCGUUAAUCGGAAUUACUGGGCGUAAAGCGCGCGUAGGUGGCUUGAUAAGCCGGUUGUGAAAGCCCCGGGCUCAACCUGGGAACGGCAUCCGGAACUGUCAAGCUAGAGUGCAGGAGAGGAAGGUAGAAUUCCCGGUGUAGCGGUGAAAUGCGUAGAGAUCGGGAGGAAUACCAGUGGCGAAGGCGGCCUUCUGGACUGACACUGACACCGAGGUGCGAAAGCGUGGGUAGCAAACAGGAUUAGAUACCCCAGUAGUC
rnacentral:rRNA from 1 species